UACGGAGGGGACUAGCGUUGUUCGGAAUUACUGGGCGUAAAGCGCACGUAGGCGGAUUUGUAAGUCAGGGGUGAAAUCCCGGGGCUCAACCUCGGAACUGCCUUUGAUACUGCAAAUCUCGAGUCCGGAAGAGGUGAGUGGAAUUCCUAGUGUAGAGGUGAAAUUCGUAGAUAUUAGGAAGAACACCAGUGGCUAAGGCGGCUCACUGGUCCGGUACUGACGCUGAGGUGCGAAAGCGUGGGGAGCAAACAGG
rnacentral:rRNA from 1 species